GUGAUGGGGGCGUUCAGAGCCAGUGGCCAAGAAAGAAUUCUUGAAGACGUCUUUGGUGCAAAAAAGGUGAUUUUAUUAAAGCACGGGGACAGGACCCGAGGGCAGGAAGAGCUGCACUGGGGUUGUGACAG